AGGACGAACGCUGGCGGCGUGCUUAACACAUGCAAGUCGAGCGGAAAGGCCCUUCGGGGUACUCGAGCGGCGAACGGGUGAGUAACACGUGAGUAAUCUGCCCCUAGCUCUGGGAUAGCUCCGGGAAACCGGGAUUAAUACCGGAUACAACCACUUUAGACAUCUUUUGUGGUGGAAAGAAUUUUUGGCUAGGGAUGAACUCGCGGCCUAUCAGCUUGUGGUGAGGUAACGGCUCACCAAGGGCGACGACGGGUA
rnacentral:rRNA from 1 species